CAGGUGAUGGUGGUUGUUGAGAGAUACUACCAUCUAAAAGUUAUUUUGUAUCAAUCACAUUAUCUCGCAUUCACCGCCGUCAAUUAGUUGAAAUCACUCGAUAAAGAUCAAACAUGUAAAAGCGGACUUAUUUAACUGUUACUUAUAGUACUUUUCAUCCUUCUCCCUUGGUAACUUAUUACCCGAUUUAUGAGUUUUUAUCUUCUAUGGAAUUCGAACUUUGUACUUGGGGAAUAAGUAUAAAGGGUUGAAUCUCGCAGAAGGCAUAAAAACUCAUAAAUUGGUUAAUAGGUUACUAGGGGGCGAGAAGUACCAUGAGUAGUAGUAGUCCAAUAGGUCAGUCUUUACAAAACGGUUCAUAGUUAAAGCAAAAUAUGAACCGUUUGAUCUUCAUCCAAAAAUUUUGAUUGAUUGUUUGCAGUGAUUAUUUUGUGAUAUUUGUUAAAUGGACUUAAAUUUCACAUGUAUAUUAUACAUGGUGUCCAUAUAGUGUUCUACUUCCCAAUCAUUAAAGAUAGCUAAUAGUUGUAUACAAAAUUUGUGACAAGGUAUGGAAAGGCAUAUAUAGUGCUAGUUAGUACUUAUUGAGAACAUAAUUAGGUUGCUACCAAUCGGUAGUACUAUUUAGAUUUAAUAUAUCUUAUAUACUAUCAAAGUCUUGUUUUUUAAAUGAAACAAUGAUUUUAUGUCACCAAGAAUGAUUUAUGCACAAGCUGAAUUCAGAGUCAAUGAAGCACCAAUUGGUUAUCUAGAAGAA
rnacentral:lncRNA from 1 species